GGGCGGUUAGCUCAGCUGGAUAGAGCGCCUGCCUUACAAGCAGGAGGCCGGCGGUUCGAGCCCGUCACCGCCCA
rnacentral:tRNA from 1 species